UCACCCCCUUUCCCUGUGGCAGUGAUGAGGACAUGGCUACCACAGUUACACUCGUAUCCCCUGCUGUUUUAUCAGGUACUUUCAUUUCUUGGUAAUGUUUCUAGUGUUCAUGAGAAUAUGAUGCUGCCUAACUUAGAUACAUUUGUGUUGCUUGCAAUUGAGGGCCUAGCACGGAUAAGAAGGAUGAACAUUGGAGCAUGGUCAAGCACGGAGAAGGUGCGUGCAAAUAGAACAAGAACGGAGGUUCAAGUGAAGAUUUUCGGACUUUGAAGCCACCAUGAUGACAUACAAGAAGAUGGACGAAAUAUACAAGAUGGCCUUUCAUAAAUUUUGUUCAUAGCUUAUUAUUGGUGUUGCGCCACCUUAUUUUGGGCUAGACCUAUGUAAUAUAUUUUUAGAGUCUAUUGUAGGGGAAACGACUUAGGAGGUGUUUUAGUCCCACCUUACUAAGGGUGGAUGAAAUCCCUUCUCUUUUCCCUAUAAAUACAACUCUUAAGGCAUCGUUUAGACGCCGGUUGGUUUUAUGUAGUUAAAAGUUAGCCAUCGCUACAACUUCGUGUCCAAAGACUACUUAUGAAACCCCACUUUUAUCAACACUUCAUAUAUGUUUGCAAUAUUUAGAUUGCUUUAUCAUAUCCUUGCUUGUUCUUCGAUUGCAUGCAGGAAUAGGCCUUCGUGGUCAGGUUGAUCGUGCUCCGGCGUGGUCAAUAACCUCUUGGAGUUGAUUUAGCGAUUGUAAGGCGCAACGCUGUGCAUGUUUGUAG
rnacentral:lncRNA from 1 species